AGAAUCAACGCUGGCGGCGUGCCUAACACAUGCAAGUCGAACGAGAAAGUGGAGCAAUCCAUGAGUAAAGUGGCGCACGGGUGAGUAACACGUGACUAACCUACCCUUGAGUGGGGGAUAACCUAGGGAACCUGGGCUAAUACCGCAUAAUACCUUCGGGUCAAAGGAGCAAUUCGCUUAAGGGAGGGGGUCGCGGCCGAUUAGUUAGGUUGGCGGGGUAAUGGCCCACCAAGACGAUGAUCGGUAU
rnacentral:rRNA from 1 species